CCCGGUCAUCCACUCAUUGCCGGCUACCAACACCUGGAGUUGAAUUCCUUCUGCCAGAGGAAGAGGAAGGCAUCAAGACAAGGUGAUAACCGAGCCAGUCGUCAAAGAACGGAGCGAGAUUGGCCGACCAAGCUGGUCCCGCAGCAACUUGGUGAGCAAAGAUGGCACGGGCCCUCAUGCAGGGCGCCUUAGCAAUCCAGGCGGGCGGCUGUCACCCCUGACACGAAGAUUUUCUGGGAGAAGGACUCGAGAAUCCCAAGAGGUCCCACAACAUCAGGGAGCAGACAGAGAAAGCCUAUACUGUCAGCUGUUUUCCUUGAAGUUUCAAGCUCACUCCGUUCACUUUUGAGAAAAUGCCUGCCAAGUACUCAAGCCUGAAUAACCGUAGUUCAUCAGUGCUUCUUUCGAAUACAACGGAUGUUCCAUGUUUUGAAAAAGAGGUCUAUUGAGCUCACACCUCCAACAAUCGCACAAGUGCUUUUUCCUCCCAGACAACCCUCAGACUUGAGCACACAGCACAAGUGCGUGUUCUUCCCAUUCCGUCACACAGAUUAUUAAAAAGAUUUGAAUUCAACGGUCAGGAUUUAAUAAAAAUAGCAUUUUUUUUAAAAAAAACAUUUUUUUUUGCUGAGUUAUCAAAGCCAUUCUUAGGUAAAACUGGCUCCCCCCUGCCCCCGCGAGGAGUGUGUGGUGGUGAGGUAUACCAGCAGUAUGGGCGGGGGCCACCGCUUUUAUUCACGUGCCAGCAGUCUUGCCUGGGUGCAAACAUCAACCUCGUGAAAAAGGCAAAUGAUGUCUUCGUAUUAUCCUGAAAAUCGCUCUGACCUUACGCACCCCCUGAAAGGCUCUCAGUAGUAACCCCUAGAGGUCUGCUGACCAUACUUCAAGAACUGCUGGUUUAGAGGGGUGCCUGGGUGGCUCAGUCAGUUAAGCGUCUGCCUUCGGCUCAGGUCAUGAUCCCGGGGUCCUGGGA